rnacentral:lncRNA from 1 species
UUUUUUAGAAGAAUGGAGCCCAAAAGAGGGACUAAAAUAGAUUUCAAUAUCCAAAAGUCUGACCAUCUUUCUGUCUAGAUAAAAUUUAUUGAUAAGGAUUAUACCUUGGAUGAACUCACUGAUUUUUUAUUGUGUUAGUAGUGUUGAUAUCAAAUUUUGUACCUUCAGCGUGGUCAUCAGAUCUCAAAGUCUCCUACGUCCACAUAAGUAGAUUCUGCACACUAAGAUAAAUCGUUAACCACAUGUGGCCCUCUCAGGUAGUGAUGCAAUUGGCCAUACAUACUCUAAUAAUCAAUUCAGUUGAUGGUAUAAGUGUUUGAAUGUGAGAGUUGCUCGAGGCACGCACAUUUU